rnacentral:rRNA from 1 species
AUUUGGCGGACGGGUGAGUAACACGUGGGCAACCUGCCCCAGACUCUGGGAUAACCUCGGGAAACCGAUGCUAAUACCGGAUACGACCACUUCGGACAUCCGACGGUGGUGGAAAGUUUUUCGGUCUGGGAUGGGCCCGCGGCCUAUCAGCUAGUUGGUGGGGUAAUGGCCUACCAAGGCUACGACGGGUAGCCGGCCUGAGAGGGCGACCGGCCACACUGGAACUGAGACACGGUCCAGACUCCUACGGGAGGCAGCAGUGGGGAAUAUUGCACAAUGGGCGAAAGCCUGAUGCAGCGACGCCGCGUGAGGGACGACGGCCUUCGGGUUGUAAACCUCUUUCAGCAGGGACGAAAAUGACGGUACCUGCAGAAGAAGCCCCGGCUAACUACGUGCCAGCAGCCGCGGUAAUACGGAGGGU